UACAGAGGGGGCGAGCGUUAUUCGGAAUUAUUGGGCGUAAAGGGCGCGUAGGCGGCUUUUCAAGUGACGGGUGAAAUCCCUCGGCCUAACCGAGGAACUGCCUGUCAGACUGGAAGGCUUGAGACCGGGAGAGGUGAGUGGAAUUCCCAGUGUAGCGGUGAAAUGCGUAGAUAUUGGGAGGAACACCAGUGGCGAAGGCGGCUCACUGGACCGGAACUGACGCUGAGGCGCGAAAGCGUGGGGAGCAAACAGG
rnacentral:rRNA from 1 species